rnacentral:rRNA from 1 species
AACGAACGCUGGCGGCAGGCCUAACACAUGCAAGUUGAAGGAGAAGCUUACUUCGGUAAGUGGAGACUAGCGCACGGGUGAGUAACACGUGGGAAUCUACCCAAAAGUUUGGAAUAACCAUUGGAAACGAUGGCUAAUACCGAAUAGACCCUCCGGGGUAAAGAUUUAUCGCUUUUGGAUGAGCCCGCGUCAGAUUAGCUAGAUGGUAAGGUAAUGGCUUACCAUGGCAACGAUCUGUAGCUGGUUUGAGAGGAUGAUCAGCCACACUGGGACUGAGACACGGCCCAGACUCCUACGGGAGGCAGCAGUGGGGAAUAUUGCGCAAUGGGGGAAACCCUGACGCAGCCAUGCCGCGUGAGUGAAGAAGGCCUUAGGGUUGUAAAACUCUUUUACCCAUGAAGAUAAUGACGGUAAUGGGAGAAAAAGCUCCGGCUAACUUCGUGCCAGCCGCCGCCGUAACAC